rnacentral:rRNA from 1 species
UGCAGUCGAGGGGUAUAUGUCUUCGGAUAUAGAGACCGGCGCACGGGUGCGUAACGCGUAUGCAAUCUACCUUUUACAGAGGGAUAGCCCAGAGAAAUUUGGAUUAAUACCUCAUAGCAUAGCAGCUUCGCAUGAAGCAGCUAUUAAAGUCACAACGGUAAAAGAUGAGCAUGCGUCCCAUUAGCUAGUUGGUAAGGUAACGGCUUACCAAGGCUACGAUGGGUAGGGGUCCUGAGAGGGAGAUCCCCCACACUGGUACUGAGACACGGACCAGACUCCUACGGGAGGCAGCAGUGAGGAAUAUUGGACAAUGGGCGCAAGCCUGAUCCAGCCAUGCCGCGUGCAGGAUGACGGUCCUAUGGAUUGUAAACUGCUUUUGUACGAGAAGAAACACUCCUUCGUGAAGGAGCUUGACGGUAUCGUAAGAAUAAGGAUCGGCUAACUCCGUGCCAGCAGCCGCGGUAAUACGGAGGAUCCAAGCGUUAUCCGGAAUCAUUGGGUUUAAAGGGUCCGUAGGCGGUUUAGUAAGUCAGUGGUGAAAGCCCAUCGCUCAACGGUGGAACGGCCAUUGAUACUGCUAAACUUGAAUUAUUAGGAAGUAACUAGAAUAUGUAGUGUAGCGGUGAAAUGCUUAGAGAUUACAUGGAAUACCAAUUGCGAAGGCAGGUUACUACUAAUGGAUUGACGCUGAUGGACGAAAGCGUGGGUAGCGAACAGGAUUAGAUACCCUGGUAGUCCACGCCGUAAACGAUGGAUACUAGCUGUUGGAAGCAAUUUCAGUGGCUAAGCGAAAGUGAUAAGU